GUCUUGAUUCAAAUCUUCAUUGGUUUAUUCAUGCAAAUUACAUGUGCAAAAAAAGAAAUCCCUGAUCGACUUUUCUAUCCCUAAAGGGUCUUUUUCAAUUUAAUCUUGAAAAAGACCCUUUAGGGAUCGAAACGUCGAUCAGGGAGUUCUUUUUUUGCACAUGUAAUUUGCACGAAUAAACCAAUGAAGAUUUGAAUCAAGA